AUUGAACGCUGGCGGCAUGCUUUACACAUGCAAGUCGAACGGUAACAGGGAGCUUGCUCCGCUGACGAGUGGCGAACGGGUGAGUAAUGCGUCGGAACGUGCCGAGUAGUGGGGGAUAACGCAUCGAAAGGUGUGCUAAUACCGCAUACGUACUGAGGUAGAAAGUGGGGGACCUUCGGGCCUCACGCUAUUCGAGCGGCCGACGUCUGAUUAGCUAGUUGGUGAGGUAAAGGCUCACCAAGGCGACGAUCAGUAGCGGGUCUGAGAGGAUGAUCCGCCACACUGGAACUGAGACACGGUCCAGACUCCUACGGGAGGCAGCAGUGGGGAAUAUUGGACAAUGGGCGAAAGCCUGAUCCAGCCAUGCCGCGUGUGUGAAGAAGGUCUUCGGAUUGUAAAGCACUUUAAGUCGGGAGGAAGGGCUGCAGGUUAAUACCUUGCAGCCUUGACGUUACCGACAGAAUAAGCACCGGCUAACUUCGUGCCAGCCGCCGCCGUAACAC
rnacentral:rRNA from 1 species